rnacentral:rRNA from 1 species
UACGUAGGUGGCAAGCGUUUGUCCGGAAUUAUUGGGCGUAAAGCGUGCGUAGGCGGUUCGUUAAGUCUGUUGUGAAAGCCCCGGGCUCAACCUGGGAAUGGCAAUGGAUACUGGCGAGCUAGAGUGUGUCAGAGGAUGGUGGAAUUCCCGGUGUAGCGGUGAAAUGCGUAGAGAUCGGGAGGAACAUCAGUGGCGAAGGCGGCCAUCUGGGACAACACUGACGCUGAGGCACGAAAGCGUGGGGAGCAAACAGG